GCCGAGAUGGCGGAACUGGUAGACGCACCAGACUCAAAAUCUGGCGGAUGUGAGUCCGUGUCGGUUCGACUCCGACCCUCGGCACCA
rnacentral:tRNA from 1 species